rnacentral:rRNA from 1 species
GACGAACGCUGGCGGCGUGCUUAACACAUGCAAGUCGAGCGGUAAGGCCCUUUCGGGGGUACGACGAGCGGCGAACGGGUUGAGUAACACGUGGGUGACCUGCCCUCAGCUCUGGGAUAAGCCUGGGAAACCGGGUCUAAUACUGGAUAUGACUCCAUGACGCAUGUUGUGGGGUGGAAAGCCUUGUGCGGCUGAGGAUGGGCCCGC